AAUUUUUCCAAAAUCAUAAUUUUAAAUUAGCUGCCAAGAAAAUACAUCCAAUUGUGCCUUUGAAAGACGAGUUCAACACAAAUAAUAUUGAAAACUGUGGUACGGUCUACAGUUACAACCUAAGAUUCAGAAAUCGUUAGCAUAAUUUCACACUUAAUUACAAUCUCACAACAAAGAAAAUCGUUACGUCCGAUACGUUGCACUUGUUCGCUGCUUUUUUACCUAAUACUACGUGUGCAGAAAGAAAGCAUUUUCUUCAGAUAUAAUUGAAAAAACAACCUUAAGAACAAUCCAAAAACUGACUGUUUUAAAUCUGAGAUAUGAUUUAUCAAGGUGGCUGGACGAUAAGUAGUGUACGAGUACAAAAAUCCAAGAGAAAUCAAUGGUUUUCUCGCACCACUGAGUAAGACGAUGGAAUCUGCCACUUCCUCUAGAGCAAAAAGCCGCGAUUUUCCGCCAGUGAUAAAUGGCAAGUGGCGAGAAGAACACGGUGGAAGUGAGACUGCAGCUGAAGAAAAAAGUCAAUAAUUAGUUUUAUUAAAUGCACUUGUUUUUUGUCAUAUGUACCAAAGACUAAAAAAAUUCCAUUAUGAAUUAUUUUUCGAGAAUUUGUACCUAAAAAAAUACUUUUACAUACAAUUAUUUUGAAACAGGUUUAUUUGUACUCUUCAUUGCUAAAUGCACUCAUACCAAGGAAAGGUUAAUUUUGCGAUAACUGGCUUAGAUUGUGGAAUCACUGAGAAUUAGGAUAAGGUACUCAGUUCAAUGUCAAAUUUGAAGCAUGCAUUCAUUCAAAUAUUCUACGAGUAAAAAGGAAAGUUGCAGACCCUAAUAAUGAACAAGAAAAAACGUUAAUUCGGUGGCACCGAAGCUAUAAUACCCUUCACAAAUACAAAAGAUUCAUUAGAAGAACUUGAUUCCGAUCGUUCAGUUCAGUGAUCCGAUCUGAACAAUUUCUUCGAAAGUUCCAUUAUUGCCUUAGAUAAUGAUCCAAUUAAGGUCGAAUGUGAGUCCAGCCUUUUGUUGAUAAAUAAACAGUCUUAAAAAUCUAUAUUGAUUCAAUACUUUUAAUUGUCGGUAAAAGAUCUCGAAAUUGGUAAACGAAGCCCCGAAUUUAGUUAUAUCAGUAUAGUAAAGGAGGGAUGGAUAUUUGAUUUAAGCAUCAUCAAAGAGUCUACCAACAAGAACGACAUGAUGUUAGAAUGAAAUGAAACACUCAAAUUUGAUCAAAAUGGGUUCUGUUUUUCGUGUUAUGCUUAUAAUUUUAUGCCAUUUAUGAAUUGAACCAUUUGCAUAUUUUCACCCGUGUACGCUAAUUUUCGAUGACCUGGUGCAGCAUUUCGGCUGGAAUUACAGCUAUAGUGCGCUGAAUGUUGUUUUCGAGCUCCUUAAGGUUUUUGGUUUAUUUAACUAAACCUUUAAUUUAACAUACGCAAAGGGAAAAUAUUCCAGAGGCGUUAAGUCGCAUGAUCUUGGCGGCCAUUUGACUGAUCCAAAACUUUUGUUGAUUUCAAUAUUAAAUAACAUUAUGAUUGCCUAAGAGAAGCAUAAUCAUAGAAAUUUGUCAUGGGUAAAUAUUAGGGGGGAUCAAAAACAAUUUAAUGUUCCUUUUUCGCUUCGUGUACUCUAAAAGUUGGUUUAUAGGCACCUUUUAGAAAGGUUCUCCAAGUAUGAGCUCUUAAUUGUAACGGGAAAGUCCUCCGUCUAAAGGUUUUGUAUUUUUUAAUUUAUUAUUAUUAUUAUUAAUUUAUUAUUUUCAAAUUAAAAAGUUUACAUUGCGGUUCCAAGUACCAUGUGCCAUUUUGCAACGUACCACAUGCUAUGAAGUAAAUGGGUUUGUUAUUCCGCUUACUGGUUAUGCAACACAGCACAGAUGUUGCCGUUUUUGACCUUUUUGACAUCUUCAUUUAAGUUUUGUUUUUAUACUUGGAAGCCACUUGUUUUACACUCAUCGGCGUCAAAUUUUGAGUUGAUUUGCUACCAUUUGCUCUUUCUAUGCUGGCUUUUGUCAAGAUAAUUCAAUGGAAAAUUGCUCUGUAAUUGGGGUUGGCCCAUUUCAACCCCCCCUUUUUAUUGCGACCAUAAAAAAACAAAACUACGUUUAAUUAUACAAUUAAUUGUACUAAGAAAUUUUUUAUUUUAAAAUUAUUUGACAAAAUCUUUGCAGUUAAUCAAAUGACUCAAAUGUAUUUGUAAACUGGUAUUUAUACAAAAUUAUAGAUUGAAAUAAACUAAAUGGACUCGGGAAUCUGGGCAUAAUAUAUUUUCAAACCAAAUCCACUAAAUUUAAGUUUUGCAAAUAUCUUUGUGAAACACGGAUAGUGGUAGUAGUUGUAUUAACAACUUUCUUAUUUGACGUGGUAACUUCACAAAAUUUGUCAUAUAUUAUUACCCAUGACAACGUUAAAAUCUCCGAAGAAAUUGUUUAGAUUUAGAUAUAGCUGCCAUACAACUGAACGAUCAAAAUAUAAGGGGAUUGUCUGGGCUUUUAUUUGUCAAGGUAGCUUCAAGAUAUCUUUGAACGUAUUGUUCAGAUCGAAGCACUAUAGCUUACAGCUGCGAACGGUAUUAUAGCUUCGGUACAGCCUAAGUUAAAAUUUUUUCUGGUUUUAUUUAUUUUCGGAUUAGAAGCAGCAUAAUUCGUAUAGCAUGGCAGACUAAUUAUUUACAAAAUUCAAUAAUGACGUAUAUGAAAAACUGAAAAUAAAUGAAUGGAAUAAACAAAACAUAAAAUAAAUUUUUUAUAAUACUGCUGUAGUUGUGCUGUCCAAUAUUUUAUUUUAACACAGAAUGCUUAAAAUAUUACUAUGUACAUAUUGCAAACAAAAUAUGUAGUUUUGCGGUCCUGUUUGAAUUCCUCAAGUUAGCUUUAGAGUGAACUUGCCAAUGUAUACAAGUAGAAAAUCAACAGAAAAAAAUGCUCCUAUAUUUUGUUGAAAUUAUAUCAAGACAUUAACAAUUUACUGAUUCUGAAGACAAAGUUCAUAUAUGUUGUUUAACCAAUGUUGGAGUCAUUUAUGGUAUAAUUAACAGUUGUAGUAUGAUUUUGGUAUCACAAUUUAUUUAGAUCUUUUAUUUUUUAAAUUUCAGUACCGGCAACUCAAAGUAUUUUCCAACAUUUUUAUUAUUUCCUUAAACUCACUAAGCAAAUCGCAAAUUUAAAAAAAACAAACACAUUCCACAAACAAGUUCUAUCAGAACGAACGUCUUCACCAAAUUAAUACCCGUUGCAAAAUAACUGAAUGUCGACGAGCGCAUCGCUAACCGUCAAUCCAUAACCGAAA